rnacentral:tmRNA from 1 species
GGGGAUGAUCGGUUUCGACGUGAAAUGUUCUUUAAAAUCUGCAAGCUGAGUUUGACUCAAACUCGUAUAAAAGGGGUCAAUAAAAUAAAAGCAAAUAGAAAUAAAUUUGCUCCGGCUUUGGCAUACGCCUAAGCUGGUGUCCACAAGACUCGCUUCUUGGCCGAACUUGUAGGGCAUAAACCAGUCAAGAUGCGGAAGGUAUGAAUGGUUUUGCAUACUUUCUUAAGAAUUAAAACCAAGCUCUCAACUUUUUCUUUAGUUUUAAGGUUGAGAAUUAAAUAUUUAAGCUAAAUAAGCUUGUAGAAGAUUUUAAAUUCGUUUUNNNNNNNNNNNNNNGAUUCCCGCCAUCUCCACCA